rnacentral:rRNA from 1 species
UUAUUAUGAGAGUUUGAUCCUGGCUCAGGACGAACGCUGGCGGCGUGCCUAAUACAUGCAAGUCGAACGCUUCUUUCCUCCCGAGUGCUUGCACUCAAUUGGAAAGAGGAGUGGCGGACGGGUGAGUAACACGUGGGUAACCUACCCAUCAGAGGGGGAUAACACUUGGAAACAGGUGCUAAUACCGCAUAACAGUUUAUGCCGCAUGGCAUAAGAGUGAAAGGCGCUUUCGGGUGUCGCUGAUGGAUGGACCCGCGGUGCAUUAGCUAGUUGGUGAGGUAACGGCUCACCAAGGCCACGAUGCAUAGCCGACCUGAGAGGGUGAUCGGCCACACUGGGACUGAGACACGGCCCAGACUCCUACGGGAGGCAGCAGUAGGGAAUCUUCGGCAAUGGACGAAAGUCUGACCGAGCAACGCCGCGUGAGUGAAGAAGGUUUUCGGAUCGUAAAACUCUGUUGUUAGAGAAGAACAAGGACGUUAGUAACUGAACGUCCCCUGACGGUAUCUAACCAGAAAGCCACGGCUAACUACGUGCCAGCAGCCGCGGUAAUACGUAGGUGGCAAGCGUUGUCCGGAUUUAUUGGGCGUAAAGCGAGCGCAGGCGGUUUCUUAAGUCUGAUGUGAAAGCCCCCGGCUCAACCGGGG